rnacentral:rRNA from 1 species
CCUACGGGGUGCAGCAGUAGGGAAUCUUCCACAAUGGGCGAAAGCCUGAUGGAGCAACGCCGCGUGGGUGAAGAAGGUCUUCGGAUCGUAAAACCCUGUUGUUAGAGAAGAAAGUGCGUGAGAGUAACUGUUCACGUUUCGACGGUAUCUAACCAGAAAGCCACGGCUAACUACGUGCCAGCAGCCGCGGUAAUACGUAGGUGGCAAGCGUUAUCCGGAUUUAUUGGGCGUAAAGGGAACGCAGGCGGUCUUUUAAGUCUGAUGUGAAAGCCUUCGGCUUAACCGGAGUAGUGCAUUGGAAUCUGGGAGACUGGAGUGCAGAAGAGGAGAGUGGAACUCCAUGUGUAGCGGUGAAAUGCGUAGAUAUAUGGAAGAACACCAGUGGCGAAAGCGGCUCUCUGGUCUGUAACUGACGCUGAGGUUCGAAAGCGUGGGUAGCAAACAGGAUUAGAUACCCUAGUAGUC